rnacentral:rRNA from 1 species
AACGAACGCUGGCGGCAGGCUUAACACAUGCAAGUCGAACGGUUGUAGCAAUACAGCAGUGGCGCACGGGUGAGUAACGCGUGGAUAUCUGCCUUUUGGUUCGGAAUAACUCCGGGAAACUGGAGCUAAUACCGGAUGGUUCCUACGGGAUAAAGAUUUAUCGCCAAAAGAUGAGUCCGCGUACGAUUAGCUAGUUGGCGGGGUAAUGGCCCACCAAGGCGACGAUCGUUAGCUGGUCUGAGAGGACGAUCAGCCACACUGGGACUGAGACACGGCCCAGACUCCUACGGGAGGCAGCAGUGGGGAAUAUUGGACAAUGGGGGCAACCCUGAUCCAGCCAUGCCGCGUGAGUGAUGAAGGCCUUCGGGUUGUAAAGCUCUUUUGGCGGGGACGAUGAUGACGGUACCCGCAGAGUAAGCCCCGGCUAACUUCGUGCCAGCCGCCGCCAGUAAGAC